rnacentral:lncRNA from 1 species
AUGCAGCUGGGAAACCAGCCACCACCGUCAAGUUAUAAAACGGCUUUAUCAUCCCCGCUCCCCAAAUCCCUCGUGCCCCUUGCGCACUCUCCCGCCCUCCUACCCCUGGCCACCGCCCUGCCUCUUCCAGGCCCUGCGGUGUCUGGAAUCACGGCCACGCUGUCCGCCUCGCAGCUUCUUCUCAUUGCCGAGUUGGAUCCCGCCGAGUGGGUGAACACCAGGGGCGCUCAUCUAAAACUUUCAGAAGCAACAGAAACAGUAUCGGAAAGAUCAAAGUCCCUCUCAAGCCCCCCACUGUCCGCCCUCUCGUUGGUUCAUUCACUCGCUCCGUGUUUGAGUGACUGCUGUGGGUUUGGAUUCUGGGGACUCAGUGGUGACUGAGACAAAACCCCUGCCUUCAUGAGGCUCGUUUACAAUGAGAUCGAAAUUUUGCCCAACAGAAAUGUAACCAAAUCAUAUUUGCGGCGUUGUUGUCUAUUUUUUAAAAAUUUCCAUUUAGUGAUACACUGUGAGCAUUUUCCUUUGUUAAUGUAGAGAAAACCACAAAAUCGGAUCGUUACUCUUCUCCAUUGUUUUUCUUUAAUAAGGAGACAUUGACUGUAUCAUUUAAUUGAUGCGUGUUCAUCUGUGUAUCUUUCGUUUUUAUUCCCCCCCACACACACACAGAUGGCUCCCUCGUCUGCUUGUUGUUUCUGCUUGUUGUCUGCUUGUUUCUUCUUUUUUUAGGAGGCACUGGGGACCUAACCUCCUAAUUGGGAGGCGGGUGCCCAAUUGCUGGAGCCACAUCCACUGCCUGCUUGUUUUUGUUUUUGUUCCGUCUGCUCGUUGUCUGCUCCCUGUUUUCCCCCCGCUGCUCGAUGUCUGCUUGUUGUGUGCUCGUCCUCUUUAGGAGCCACCGGGAACUGAACCCGGGACCUCUCACGUGGAGGGUGAGCCCCACCUGCCUGAGCCACGUCUGCUUCCCAAUCUGUGCAUCUUUCUGAACACUAGAGGAACGACUGAGUUAGCAGGUGGAAUUAGAUGAGAUUUUUAAAAGUGCCCGAAAAAGAACUUUUCACGGGUAAUGUUCCCAUAACUUGUUGAGCUGCCUUUUUCUGUUCUUUUAUAUAUAUGAAUUUGAAAUAAAGUUGUUAAUUUUAAAAAUCAGAUCAUUAAGAAUAUUUUAAAAGUAAUUUUUGAUUUGGUAAUAUAUUCACGUUUCAAAAUAAAACAGAGCACACGAAGGCACCAAGUUCAAGUCUGCCUCACAUCCCCUGCCCCUGUGGGAACCUGCCCAGUCCUCCCGGCAAGCAUUUUUACUUGUUUCUUAUGAGUCUUUCCAGAGUUUUUGGUACUUGAGUACAAGCAACUUUAAAUACAGACUCCUCCCACCCAUUUUUUAAGCCCGAAGUCAGCGUGUGAUACCCGGUGACGCUCCCCUGCGUUUUCGCCCGGGCAGCGUGUCCUGCGCUUCGUCACAUGGGCAGGUGAGGGCGUCUGCCUUCUUUUCUGUGGCGGCGCAGGAGUCGCCUGCAGGACCACGGGGUGCUGUUAACCCUUGACACGAGCCCUAAUCACGGUCUGGGAUACCUCUGGGUCAUUGUGUCGUUUUAUCACGGCGCCUGAUCCUCCGUCCUGUGGACACGCCCUGUGGCCUCGGCAGUGCCCUGGGGUGGGCAGUGUGUCACAGGUGAGUGUGCCUGCACAGCUGUGGCUGCCCACCUGCCCAGUCGUCAUUUUCUUAGGAAAAUGAUCCCCACCGCAGCGUGGAUCGAAUGCUCCCCACGGGCCGGGGGCUGGGCCAGGUAAUCAUCUCACGGAAUCCUCUCACCCAGCCCAAGGAGCGGGGAGGCUACAGACGAGGG